rnacentral:rRNA from 1 species
GACGAACGCUGGCGGCGUGCCUAAUACAUGCAAGUAGAACGCAGUUGCGAACGGGUGAGUAACGCGUAGGUAACUGCCUCAUAGCGGGGGAUAAAGAUUGGAAACGAUAGCUAAUACCGCAUACUGUGAGAUGGACCUGCGUUGUAUUAGCUAGUUGGUGAGGUAAAGGCUCACCAAGGCGACGAUACAUAGCCGACCUGAGAGGGUGAGCCACCCCCCUGGGACUGAGACACGGCCCAGACUCCUACCUAGUACAUCAAUAUCCACUCUUAGGCAAUUCACGGAAGUCUGACCAAGCAACGCCGCGUGAGUGAAGAAGUUUUUCGGAUCCUUAAACUCUGUUUUUAGAGAAGCGGUAACUAACCAGAAAGGGACGGCUAACUACGUGCCAGCAGCCGCGGUAAUAC